AUUGAACGCUGGCGGCAUGCCUUACACAUGCAAGUCGAACGGUAACAGGUUAAGCUGACGAGUGGCGAACGGGUGAGUAAUACAUCGGAACGUGCCCAGACGUGGGGGAUAGCUCGGCGAAAGCCGGAUUAAUACCGCAUAAGCUCUGAGGAGGAAAGCGCGGGACUGUACGGCCUCGCGCGUUUGGAGCGGCCGAUGGCAGAUUAGGUAGUUGGUGGGGUAAAGGCUUACCAAGCCUACGAUGUGUAGCUGGUAUGAGAGGACGACCAGCCAGUCUGUGGCUGAGACACGGCCCAGACUCCUACGGGAGGCAGCGGUGGGGACUUGUGGACAAUGGGCGCAAGACUGAUCCAGCAAUGCCGGGUGCAGGAUGAUGGCCUUCGGGUCGUAAACUGCAUUUGUACAGAACGAAACGGAUCUCUCUAAUACAGAGGGCUAAUGACGGUACCGUAAGAAUAAGCACCGGCUAACUACGUGCCAGCCGCCGCAGUAACAC
rnacentral:rRNA from 1 species